UACGGGGGGGGCAAGCGUUGUUCGGAAUUACUGGGCGUAAAGCGCAUGUAGGCGGUUGGAUAAGUUGCGUGUGAAAGCUCCUGGCUAAACUAGGAGAGGACAGGCAAGACUGUUCGGCUAGAGGGUGGUAGAGGGGCACAGAAUUCGGGGUGUAGCGGUGAAAUGUGUAGAGAUCCCGAGGAAUACCAGUGGUGAAGACGGUGCCCUGGGCCAUACCUGACGCUGAGAUGCGAAAGCGUGGGGAGCGAACAGG
rnacentral:rRNA from 1 species